rnacentral:lncRNA from 1 species
CAACCUUCAUUCUCUGAACAUGAGAGUUCUUCACGGGCCAGCACUCCGCCCCAUACAACAUCGCAGGUCUAACCACGGCUCUAUAGAAUUUCCCCUUGGGUUUGUGUGGGACUUUCUUGUCACACAUGACUCCUGAUGCAAGCCUCCACUUUGACCAUCCCGCUCCUAUACGAUGAGUGAUGUCCCCGUCAAUCUCUCCAUCCCCCUAAAUCACCG